UGUAAAAGCCCCACGGGGUCUCAACCCGGGGAAGGGUCAAUUGGAAAAUGGGGGACUUGAGUGCAGAAGAGGAAAGUGGAAUUCCACGUGUAGCGGUGAAAUGCGUAGAGAUGUGGAGGAACACCAGUGGCGAAGGCGACUUUCUGGUCUGUAACUGACGGUUAGGCGCGAAAGCGUGGGGAGCAAACCGGAUUAGAUACCCUGGUAGUCCACCCCGUAAAACGAAGAGUGCUAAGUGUUAGGGGGUUUCCGCCCCUUAGUGCUGCAGCUAAGGCAUAAAGCACUCCGCCUGGGGAGUACGGCCGCAAGGCUGAAACUCAAAGGAAUUGACGGGGGCCCGCACAAGCGGUGGAGCAUGUGGUUUUAAUUCGAAGCAACGCGAAGAACCUUACCAGGUCUUGACAUCCCGCUGCCCGCCUUGGAGACAAGGCUUUCCCUUCGGGGACAGCGGUGACAGGUGGUGCAUGGUUGUCGUCAGCUCGUGUCGUGAGAUGUUGGGUUAAGUCCCGCAAUGAGCGCAACCCUUGAUCUUAGUUGCCAGCAUUCAGUUGGGCACUCUAAGGUGACUGCCGGUGACAAACCGGAGGAAGGUGGGGAUGACGUCAAAUCAUCAUGCCCCUUAUGACCUGGGCUACACACGUGCUACAAUGGACGGUACAAAGGGUUGCCAACCCGCGAGGGGGAGCCAAUCCCAGAAAACCGUUCUCAGUUCGGAUUGCAGGCUGCAACUCGCCUGCAUGAAGCCGGAAUCGCUAGUAAUCGUGGAUCAGCAUGCCACGGUGAAUACGUUCCCGGGCCUUGUACACACCGCCCGUC
rnacentral:rRNA from 1 species